AUUCCAUGAUGUGGGCACUUCCUUUGCAACUCAUUAAAUCGUUUCCAUGCAUCAUAUAAAGAUUUUCCAUCCAGUUGAUGGAUAUUAUUAAUCUCUCCUCUUAUUUU